AGAAAGAAAGACUUGAAGAAGCAGAGGGACACUUGGAUUCCAAACUUCCAAUGAUUUGAAUCCCCCAUCCAAAGAGUCUCUAAAAUACUUAAGCAGCCACAAAGGUUUUCAAAGAGAGAGUACAAAGAAGAUGCAACUGGCAUUUAUUGUAAUAUAAAAGUAAAUCUAGAGCUAGCCCUACACAUGGGCAAGUAAUAUUUGAGGCCCUAUCUACUGGAUUUGCUAAAGUUCCUAUCAUUCCUUUUCAUUAGAUAAGAAAAGCAGAUGUGGUCUCCACCGAAAAACACAUAAAUGGUUCAA